GCUCGAGAGCCUGGCUGGGAACUGCCUCUUUUUCAGCCUGGGAAAGAGGGUCCCUGUUCCUGGCCACGUAAAUCAGUCAAUAAAUAAAUAACUCUGUGGGACCCAGGCAUGAUUUGUUCCCGGGAAAGCCCCCACGAGCUCGGGACACGGGGCAAAAUGGGGCAGUUUCGGUGAAGCUGAGCGCUGCACCCCCAGUUUUUGGGUGCUCCCCCAAACACCCCACGUGCUCCCUAUUUGCUGCCUCAUUGCUCCCCAAAAGUUGAGGGGUUGGAGGUCUCAGGAGGGAGGCCAUCAGCCUCGUUUAGCACAGAGCACUGCUAAUUAGCGGUGUGAGGAGCGAGCACCUUCCUCCCCACUGCGCAGCAGCUAAUAAACCAAUUAGGAUAAUGGCUAAAUGAGCAGAUAAAACUCUUAAGCCAGGUGCUGACAGGUCACAGAUGGGUGCAGGGCCUUUCCCCAAGCCUUGGGCUCAGCAGUAGGGCAGGCUGCAAUGCGCCAUCCCUACAUGCAGAAGGUCCCCGUGGGUACUUCCCUUGGGGUCUCACUUUGCAGCACCCCCAUGCUUUUUUCCUAGGUCACCCCAAGCCCAAAUUCUCUUUAUUUUUGCACAGAAGCUGCAUUUUCCACCCCAGUGCCCUGCUGCCCUAGGCUGGCAGCUGGUGCUCAGCUUGUGGCAAGGGGACCUUGAGGCUGGCGGUGGGGGUGACCCUGGUGGGUGGCACUCAGCCCCCAUCACGCUAAGGCUUUUAUUUCUUUUUGAGGCGCUGCUGGAAGCAGAUGGCUUGUUCCCAUGUACCCCAGCAGCGCGUGGAUGGGGUGGAGAAGUGUCCCUGUGCAAUGUCCCUUGGGGAUAAUGCCACCGGUGUGGGAUGGGGGUGGUGCCACUGAAAGAAAAUGCUGCAGCAGUGGGAUUUUAACAGCACUUCACAUCUCCAAUCCCAGCUGGAGAAGAGAAGAGCAUCCACCUCUGUGGCUUUAUCCUUGACCCCAAGGGGAAGCUGGUUCCUGCUGCAUGGGGGAGCUGGGUCCCUUUAGCUCCUGCCCAGUCCUACAGACCUGAGGGACUGCUCGUGCCCACCCUCGUGGCAUCCUGCCUGGCACAGCCCCUGGCCAGCAUCUCCUGAGCCUCACCAGAGCCCUUCGUCACCAGGUCAGGCCCACGGAGGACCCUGUGCAAUUAAAAACCUGACGUAAACCUUUCCAUCCUCAUCCUCGUGGGCUUGUAGCUGAGGGUGGGAGGAGGAAAUCUCGGUUCCUCUGUGCUCAGGCCACGGAUAAACCUGUUGGUUCCUUGUGAUAACCUCAUGGUGAGGGGUGGCAGGGGGAGAUGAGGCACCUCUGGGGGGGCUCUGCUGCCCUAUAUCACUCUCUCCUCAUUAUCUUCUCAUUUAGCUUAAUUGCUCCUAUGCUGGGGUGAAUAUUUCAGGUCACAGGUCCCGAAUUUCCCCACAGCGUGCCAAGUACCAACACUACCAAGAGCACCACAGCCAAAACACAUCUCCUGUCCCACCUGGUCCCAGCACCACCCCAAAUCCCCCGUGAAGCCCCCGGUGCGCCCGCUGACCUGCCGUGGUGGUGUCCACAUCCCUGGCUGCCAUCUCCUCCACCUCCGC